rnacentral:rRNA from 1 species
GACGAACGCUGGCGGCGUGCUUAACACAUGCAAGUCGAACGGUAAGGCCCUUCGGGGUACACGAGUGGCGAACGGGUGAGUAACACGUGGUGAUCUGCCCUGCACUUCGGGAUAAGCCUGGGAAACUGGGUCUAAUACCGGAUAGGACCCAUGGACUUUCACGGUUUGUGGUGGAAAGCUUUUGCGGUGUGGGAUGGGCCCGCGGCCUAUCAGCUUGUUGGUGGGGUAAUGGCCUACCAAGGCGACGACGGGUAGCCGGCCUGAGAGGGUGUCCGGCCACACUGGGACUGAGAUACGGCCCAGACUCCUACGGGAGGCAGCAGUGGGAAUAUUGCACAAUGGGCGCAAGCCUGAUGCAGCGACGCCGCGUGAGGGAUGACGG